GGGAUGUGAUGAGUGGUUAAUGCUCGCAGUUUGUGCGAGAAGGGUGCCCGCCUUGCCUGUUACGACAUAUUGGGCAUUCCAAUGUUUUACCAUCUGAUUCC